rnacentral:tRNA from 1 species
GCCGGGGUAGCCAAGUGGCAAAGGCGCGGGCCUCCUGAGCCUGUGGAUGUAAAUUCCUUUAGGGGUUCGAUUCCCCUCUCCGGCA